rfam:Oryza sativa Japonica Group DNA, chromosome 10, cultivar: Nipponbare, complete sequence.
AUUAAGGAAUUUUGAGUUUUUGUUUGUAACGUUUGACCACUCGUCUUAUUUAAAUUUUUUUAAAAUUAUUAAUUAUUUUAUUUUUGACUUUCUUUAUUAUCUACAAUACUUUAAGCAUAACUUUUCGUUUUUUAUAUUUGCAAAAAAAAUUUAAAUAAGACGAGUGGUCAAACGUUAAAAGCAAAAACUUAAA